GCAUCGGGGGCGGGGCUCCGGAUUGAAGGCGUGAGCGAACCGGGCUGACGACUCCGCAGGUUGUCGGUCCUCCCUUAUUGAGGUGUGGAGCGCCCAGAACGGGCUACCUGAGAACUGUAGGGAAGACAUAUUUUAUACACUGACAUGAAGGUAUCCGGAUAGUUCUGAUGAUCUACUUCAGGUAUGGGCAAAGAGAGGUUUAUUUGAAAAAAAUAUUUAUCUUAAG
rnacentral:lncRNA from 1 species